rnacentral:rRNA from 1 species
UACGGGGGGGGCAAGCGUUGUUCGGAAUCACUGGGCGUAAAGCGCACGUAGGCGGAUUUUUAAGUCAGGGGUGAAAUCCUGGAGCUCAACUCCAGAACUGCCUUUGAUACUGGGAAUCUCGAGUCCGGGAGAGGUGAGUGGAACUGCGAGUGUAGAGGUGAAAUUCGUAGAUAUUCGCAAGAACACCAGUGGCGAAGGCGGCUCACUGGCCCGGUACUGACGCUGAGGUGCGAAAGCGUGGGGAGCAAACAGG